GGCUCAGGAUGAACGCUAGCGGCGCGCUUAAUGCAUGCAAGUCGAGCGAUGAGGCCUCUUCGGGGGGUAAUCAGCGGCAGACGGGUGAGUAACACGUAGGUGAUCUACCCCAGAGACGGGGAUAACGGGUGGAAACAUCCGCUAAUACCGGAUAGGCUUGUUCGGUCAAAGGGACAAGGAAAGGCUCCGGCGCUCUGGGAGGAGCCUGCGGCCCAUCAGCUAGUUGGCGGGGUAACGGCCCACCAAGGCAGAGACGGGUAGGGGGUGUGAGAGCAUGGCCCCCCACAAUGGGACUGGAACACGGCCCAUACUCCUACGGGAGGCAGCAGCAGGGAAUAUUGCACAAUGGACGGAAGUCUGAUGCAGCGACGCCGCGUGGAUGAAGAAGGCCCUCGGGUUGUAAAAUCCUUUACAGGGGGAAGAGGAAGGACGGUACCCCUGGAACAAGUGUCGGCUAACUACGUGCCAGCAGCCGCGGUAAGACGUAGGACACAAGCGUUAUCCGGAUUUACUGGGCGUAAAGCGUCUGCAGGCGGACAGGUAAGUUGGGCGUGAAAGCUCCGGGCCCAACCCGGAGAGGUCGUUCAAUACUGCGUGUCUAGAGGGUGUCAGAGGGGAGUGGAAUUUCCGGAGUAGCGGUAAAAUGCGCAGAGAUCGGAAAGAACACCAAUGGCGAAGGCAGCUCCCUGGGGCAACCCUGACGCUAAGAGACGAAAGCUAGGGGAGCGAACAGGAUUAGAGACCCUGGUAGUCCUAGCCCUAAACGAUGGAUGCUGGAUGUGGGGCCAUAGCGCUCCGUGUCGAAGCGAACGCGUUAAGCAUCCCGCCUGGGGACUACGGCCGCAAGGUUAAAACUCAAACGAAUUGACGGGACCCCGCACAAGCAGCGGAGCGUGUGGUUUACUUCGAUGCUAC
rnacentral:rRNA from 1 species